UGGGUAACCCACCCCGAUGACCGGGACAACCCGAGGAAACUCGGGGUUAAAUACCGGAUGAGCUCUUCGCCCUUGAGGGAGAAGAGGAAAGAUAGCUUCGGCCUUCGCAUCGGGACGGGCCCGCGGCGCAUUAGCUUGUUGGUGGGUAACGCCUACCAAGGCGACGAUGCGUAGCUGGUCUGAGAGGACGAUCACGCCACAGUUGGGACUGAGACACCGGCCCAGACCUCCGUACGGGAGGCAG
rnacentral:rRNA from 1 species